rnacentral:tRNA from 1 species
UGGUGUUUAACUCAGUGGUAGAGUACUUGCCUAGCAUGUAUGGGGCUCUAGGUUCAAUUCCCCAGUACUAC